rnacentral:rRNA from 1 species
AUGGACCUGCGCCGCAAGGAUCGGCGCGAGGCGCGCCUCAAGCAGGAGAUUGAGAAGUACCGUGCGUCCAACCCCAAGAUCACCGAGCAGUUUGCUGAUCUCAAGAGGAAACUGGCAGAUGUGUCAGUGCAGGAGUGGGAAAGCAUACCUGAAAUUGGGGACUACUCGGCUCGCAACAAGAAGAAGCGUUUCGAGAGCUUUGUCCCGGUGCCGGACACUCUGCUUGAGAAGGCCCGGCAGGAGCAGGAGCAUGUCACAGCGCUGGACCCCAAGAGCCGUGCGGCCGGUGGCACCGAGACACCGUGGGCGCAAACUCCGGUUACCGACCUGACUGCAGUGGGUGAGGGUCGUGGUACCGUGCUUUCGCUGAAGUUGGACAGGUUAUCGGAUUCAGUUUCUGGGCUUACUGUUGUUGAUCCAAAGGGAUACCUUACAGACUUGAAAAGCAUGAAAAUUACUAGCGACGCUGAGAUCUCUGACAUUAAGAAGGCAAGACUGCUGCUCAGGUCUGUGACGCAGACAAACCCAAAGCAUCCUCCAGGUUGGAUUGCUGCUGCUAGGCUUGAAGAGGUUGCUGGCAAGCUCCAGUCUGCUCGGCAGCUCAUUCAGAGGGGCUGUGAGGAGUGCCCCAAGAACGAGGAUGUUUGGUUCGAGGCAUGCCGGUUGGCUAGCCCAGACGAGUCAAAGGCAGUAAUUGCCAGGGGUGUGAAGGCAAUUCCCAACUCUGUGAAGCUGUGGCUGCAGGCUGCAAAACUAGAGACUAGUGAUUUGAACAAGAGCAGGGUUUUAAGGAAGGGAUUGGAGCACAUUCCUGAUUCAGUUAGGCUGUGGAAGGCUGUUGUGGAGCUGGCGAACGAGGAGGAUGCACGGAUGUUGCUUCACAGGGCUGUGGAGUGCUGCCCACUUCAUGUUGAGCUGUGGCUUGCCCUAGCAAGGCUCGAGACAUAUGACCAGGCAAAGAAGGUACUUAACAAGGCCAGGGAGAAGCUCAACAAGGAACCUGCCAUAUGGAUUACAGCUGCAAAGCUGGAGGAGGCUAAUGGGAACACCCAAUCCGUAAGCAAGGUGAUUGAGAGAGGUAUAAGAUCUUUGCAGAGAGAAGGGUUAGAUAUUGAUAGGGAGGCGUGGCUAAAGGAAGCCGAAGCUGCAGAGCGUGCUGGAUCUGUGCUUACUUGCCAGGCUAUUGUCAAGAGCACUAUUGGAGUUGGGGUUGAUGAUGAGGACCGGAAGCGAACAUGGGUUGCUGAUGCUGAGGAAUGCAAGAAACGUGGUUCAAUUGAGACAGCUCGGGCCAUCUAUGCACAUGCUCUUAGUGUGUUUGUUGCCAAAAAGAGUAUAUGGCUUAAAGCGGCGCAGCUUGAGAAGAGCCAUGGGACAAGAGAAUCUCUUGAAGCCAUUCUCAGAAAGGCUGUCACGUACAAUCCAAAAGCUGAAGUGUUAUGGCUUAUGGGUGCAAAGGAGAAAUGGCUGGCUGGUGAUGUCCCUGCAGCUCGGGCCAUCCUUCAGGAAGCUUAUGCUGCUAUCCCUAUUUCAGAGGAGAUCUGGUUAGCUGCAUUCAAGUUAGAGUUCGAGAACAAUGAACCGGAGAGAGCAAGAAUGCUUUUGACCAAGGCCAGGGAAAGAGGAGGCACCGAGAGGGUUUGGAUGAAAUCGGCAAUUGUUGAGAGGGAAUUAGGAAAUGUGAAUGAGGAAAGGAGGCUGUUGGAGGAAGGUCUGAAGUUAUUCCCCUCAUUUUUCAAAUUGUGGUUAAUGCUUGGACAGAUGGAAGACCGGAUUGGCCAUGUAGGGAAGGCAAAGGAGGUUUAUGAGAAUGGACUCAAACACUGCCCUGGUUGCAUCCAUCUUUGGCUCUCGCUAGCUAGUCUAGAGGAGAGGAUAAACGGCUUGAGUAAGUCGCGCGCUUUCCUCACCAUGGCAAGGAAAAAGAAUCCAGCUACACCUGAACUAUGGCUUGCAGCAAUUCGAGCUGAAUUGAGGCACGGGAACAAAAAGGAAGCUGAUUCUCUACUAGCCAAGGCAUUACAAGAGUGUCCAACAAGUGGCAUUUUGUGGGCUGCAGCUAUUGAGAUGGUGCCACGUCCCCAACGCAAAUCAAAGAGCUCAGAUGCUAUAAAGCGAUGUGAUCAUGAUCCACAUGUCAUUGCAGCUGUCGCCAAACUUUUCUGGCAUGACAGGAAGGUUGAUAAAGCAAGGAGUUGGUUGAACAGAGCUGUUACUCUUGCUCCUGACAUUGGGGAUUUUUGGGCAUUGUACUACAAAUUUGAACUCCAGCACGGAAAUGCGGACACACAAAGGGAUGUUCUGAAACGAUGCAUUGCAGCUGAACCAAAACAUGGCGAGAGAUGGCAAGCUAUAAGCAAGGCUGUUGAGAACUCACAUCAGCCAGUUGAUGCCAUCCUGAGGAAAGUCGUUCUGGCUCUUGGUGCAGAAGAAAAUCCCAAUGCUGCAGAACCUUAG